rnacentral:rRNA from 1 species
UACGUAGGGGGCUAGCGUUGUCCGGAUUUAUUGGGCGUAAAGAGCUCGUAGGUGGUUCGGUUAGUCGGAUGUGAAAUCUCCAGGCUCAACCUGGAGGGGUCAUUCGAUACUGCCGUGACUAGAGUUCGGUAGAGGAGUGUGGAAUUCCUGGUGGAGCGGUGAAAUGCGCAAAGAUCAGGAGGAACACCCGUAGCGAAGGCGGCACUCUGGGCCGAUACUGACACUGAGGAGCGAAAGCGUGGGGAGCGAACAGG